GACAGAGGGUGCAAACGUUGUUCGGAAUUACUGGGCGUAAAGCGCGUGUAGGCGGCAAUACAAGUCGGAUGUGAAAUCCCGCGGCUUAACCGUGGAAGUGCACCCGAAACUGUAUCGCUAGAGUCCCGGAGAGGAUGGUGGAAUACUUGGUGUAGAGGUGAAAUUCGUAGAUAUCAGGAAGAACACCAACGGCGAAGGCAGCUCGCUGGGACGGUACUGACGCUGAGACGCGAAAGCGUGGGGAGCGAACAGG
rnacentral:rRNA from 1 species